AACGAACGCUGGCGGCAUGCCUAACACAUGCAAGUCGAACGAGACCUUCGGGUCUAGUGGCGCACGGGUGCGUAACGCGUGGGAACCUGCCCUUAGGUUCGGAAUAACUCCCCGAAAGGGGUGCUAAUACCGGAUAAUGUCUUCGGACCAAAGAUUUAUCGCCUUUGGAUGGGCCCGCGUUGGAUUAGUUAGUUGGUAGGGUAAAAGCCUACCAAGGCGACGAUCCGUAGCUGGUCUGAGAGGAUGAUCAGCCACACGGGGACUGAGACACGGCCCAGACUACUAAGGGAGGAAGCAGUGGGGAAGUUGGCGAAAGGGGCGCAAGUGUGACGGAGGAAGACCGCGGGAGGGAAGAAGGUCUGUGGAUUGCAAACCGCUUUUGACAGGGAAGAAGUACUGACGGUACCUGUCGAAUCAGCCUCGGCUAACUCCGUG
rnacentral:rRNA from 1 species